rnacentral:rRNA from 1 species
UGGGGAAUAUUGCACAAUGGGCGCAAGCCUGAUGCAGCCAUGCCGCGUGUAUGAAGAAGGCCUUCGGGUUGUAAAGUACUUUCAGCGGGGAGGAAGGGAGUAAAGUUAAUACCUUUGCUCAUUGACGUUACCCGCAGAAGAAGCACCGGCUAACUCCGUGCCAGCAGCCGCGGUAAUACGGAGGGUGCAAGCGUUAAUCGGAAUUACUGGGCGUAAAGCGCACGCAGGCGGUUUGUUAAGUCAGAUGUGAAAUCCCCGGGCUCAACCUGGGAACUGCAUCUGAUACUGGCAAGCUUGAGUCUCGUAGAGGGGGGUAGAAUGCCAGGUGUAGCGGUGAAAUGCGUAGAGAUCUGGAGGAAUACCGGUGGCGAAGGCGGCCCCCUGGACGAAGACUGACGCUCAGGUGCGAAAGCGUGGGGAGCAAACAGG